rnacentral:rRNA from 1 species
UACGUAGGAGGCGAGCGUUGUCCGGAAUUACUGGGCGUAAAGAGCGCGCAGGCGGUAUGACAAGUCAGAUGUGAAAGAGGCCGGCUUAACCGGCAAGGGUCAUUUGAAACUGUCAGACUAGAGUGCAGCAGAGGAUAGUGGAAUUCCCGGUGUAGUGGUGAAAUGCGUAGAUAUCGGGAGGAACACCAGUGGCGAAGGCGACUAUCUGGGCUGCAACUGACGCUGAGGCGCGAAAGCGUGGGGAGCAAACAGG